UACGAAGGGUGCAAGCGUUACUCGGAAUUACUGGGCGUAAAGCGUGCGUAGGUGGUGAGUUAAGUCUGUCGUGAAAGCCCCGGGCUCAACCUGGGAAUGGCGAUGGAUACUGGCUCGCUAGAGUGCGGUAGAGGAGAGUGGAAUUCCCGGUGUAGCAGUGAAAUGCGUAGAGAUCGGGAGGAACACCCGUGGCGAAGGCGGUGUGCUGGGUUGCAACUGACGCUGAGAUGCGAAAGUGUGGGGAGCAAACGGG
rnacentral:rRNA from 1 species